GACAAAACCUGACAGGCUUUUUGUGCUGCUAAUUGCCAGAAGAACUUGCUACCCUGUGUGAAGAAAUGCAAGUACUGGCAGUGCAUCAGAUGGAGAGAUUGAAAAGUUAAUCAAAGAUGGCUGCUGCUCACUUUGGACAGAGAUGGGGGAAGAAAAGAGCAAGCCAGAAUGCAAACAAAUUCUUCCAAUGUCUGUCCCUCUUUUAGGAUACGCUUACAUGAGGAAGCUCCUGGAUUUUUUUUUUCCACAAAUAAAUUCUAAUAUCAC